CAGCAGCCGCGGGAAUACGUAGGGUGCAAGCGUUAAUCGGAAUUACUGGGCGUAAAGCGUGCGCAGGCGGUUUUGUAAGUCUGUCGUGAAAUCCCCGGGCUCAACCUGGGAAUGGCGAUGGAGACUGCAAGGCUAGAAUCUGGCAGAGGGGGGUAGAAUUCCACGUGUAGCAGUGAAAUGCGUAGAUAUGUGGAGGAACACCGAUGGCGAAGGCAGCCCCCUGGGCUAAGAUUGACGCUCAUGCACGAAAGCGUGGGGAGCAAGCAGGAUUAGAUACCCGCGUAGUCCCUGUCUCUUAUAC
rnacentral:rRNA from 1 species